rnacentral:rRNA from 1 species
GACGAACCGUGCGAACGUUGUUCGGAAUCACUGGGCUUAAAGGGCGCGUAGGCGGACAGCCAAGUCUGUGGUGAAAUCUUUCGGCUCAACCGGAAAAUGGCCGUGGAUACUGGCUGUCUUGAGGGAGGUAGGGGCCCGUGGAACUUCCGGUGGAGCGGUGAAAUGCGUUGAUAUCGGAAGGAACGCCGGUGGCGAAAGCGGCGGGCUGGAUCUCUUCUGACGCUGAGGCGCGAAAGCUAGGGGAGCAAACGGG